AUUGAACGCUGGCGGCAGGCCUAACACAUGCAAGUCGGACGGUAGCACAGAGAGCUUGCUCUCGGGUGACGAGUGGCGGACGGGUGAGUAAUGUCUGGGGAUCUGCCCGAUAGAGGGGGAUAACCACUGGAAACGGUGGCUAAUACCGCAUAACGUCGCAAGACCAAAGAGGGGGACCUUCGGGCCUCUCACUAUCGGAUGAACCCAGAUGGGAUUAGCUAGUAGGCGGGGUAACGGCCCACCUAGGCGACGAUCCCUAGCUGGUCUGAGAGGAGGACCAGCCACACUGGAACUGAGACACGGUCCAGACUCCUACGGGAGGCAGCAGUGGGGAAUAUUGCACAAUGGGCGCAAGCCUGAUGCAGCCAUGCCGCGUGUAUGAAGAAGGCCUUCGGGUUGUAAAGUACUUUCGGCGGGGAGGAAGGCGAUAAGGUUAAUAACCUUGUCGAUUGACGUUACCCGCAGAAGAAGCACCGGCUAACUCCGUGCCAGCAGCCGCUGUAA
rnacentral:rRNA from 1 species